GGUGUCGUAGCAUAGGGUGUUGCACCGUGGUUUACUUGAGGGACAACAUAUUGUUUCGCAGAUGUCUCGGGUUCGACUCCCGGCGGCGCCA